GACAGUGGCGAACGGGUGCGUAACACGUGAGCAACCUGCCCUUGAGUAUGGAACAGCCCGCCGAAAGGUGGAUUAAUGCCGUAUGUGGCCUUUUAACUCAUGUUAAAAAAGCUAAAGCUUGUAAUGGCGCUCAAGGAUGGGCUCGCGGCCUAUCAGCUUGUUGGUGAGGUAACGGCUCACCAAGGCUUAGACGGGUAGCUGGUCUGAGAGGAUGAUCAGCCACACCGGGACUGAGACACGGCCCGGACACCUACGGGUGGCAGCAGUUUCGAAUCAUUCACAAUGGGCGAAAGCCUGAUGGUGCAAUGCCGCGUGGAGGAUGAAGGCCCUAGGGUCGUAAACUCCUGUCAUUGGGGAACAACAAGCAGGUUUAUAGCCUGCCCUGAGUUAACCCAAAGAGGAAGAGGUGGCUAACUCCGUGCCAGCAGCCGCGGUAAUACGGAGACCUCGAGCGUUACUCGGAUUUACUGGGCGUAAAGGGUGAGUAGGCGGCUAGAUAUGUCAAGUGUGAAAUCCCGGGGCUCAACCUCGGAACUGCGCCUGAAACUAUCUAGCUAGAGUCUCGGAGAGGAUAGUGGAAUUCCAGGUGUAGCGGUGAAAUGCGUAGAUAUUUGGAGGAACACCAGUGGCGAAGGCGACUAUCUGGACGAGUACUGACGCUCAAUCACGAAAGCGUGGGUAGCGAAAGGGAUUAGG
rnacentral:rRNA from 1 species